UGUGUGUGUGUGUGUGUGUCUGAGAGAGAGCGAGAGAGAGAGUGUGUGUGUGUGUGUGUGUGUGUGUGUGUGUGUGUGUGUGUGUGUGUGUGUGUGUGUGUGUGUGACUUGUUCCUGUCUAAAAUAUCACUGCAGUGCUUUGAUGCAUAAUGUGGCAGAAUGCUUUUUGACUCGCUACUCAUUAAUACAGUGUGAAAGAAACAAAAACAGGGAUUUCCAUUGGUGUCACAGGGAGGAAGAAAACAUGUUCCAGCAACAGACCAGGAUUCCAAGGCCAAUUUCAGCAUCACUGUAAAGUCCCCCCUCUCACAGGAUCCCCUCGGUACAGAGACGAGUGAGUGGCCAUUCAGAGGCUGGAUAAGUUGGUGACUGGCCAGGAGAGGCCUCUGGUGAACAGAGACAGUAAUUAGCAUACAACGACCAUUAACAAACAGAUUAGCCCCUUGACCAGCAUGGAAUCCUGUCAUCACCGUCGCGUACGUCUGGUGAAUCCGCCCUGCUGUGUGCGCUUAAUGAAAGAUAAGAAGGGUCCUCCACCACUGACACUGAGCCACGGACCCUCAGAGGACCGCGCUAAUCUGCUUGGCUCCUAAUGGAGGCCACUUUGUGUCUGCCGAGGAUCAUUUCAUAUCAAACAAAUUGUGUCCUGUGAAACCCAUUACAUUUUGGGCCCUUUAGAGAUUCUUCACCCUUAGCUGACACAUAGAGGACAUUCUCAGCCUGACUUUGGAUGGUGUAAACAUUCCCAAAGAUGUUCCUCUGUGGAGCAGCCCUUUGCCAGUUUGAAGAAGGGCUUUGCGCACGGUUAAAACCUGAUCAAGUUUACAUGAACUGGAGAAGAAAAAGACAAAACUAUCAGCGUCCUUGCAGUGAAAUGAGAACACAUAUGGAAAAAAUAAAGCCGAGGCGUAUAUAAGUGACUGACAAAGAGUGAAUAAAUGUUCAUCUUUGUAAUCUUA